rnacentral:misc_RNA from 1 species
UAUCCCGAUUGUUAGAGAACGUCGACAGCAGUCUGCCAGGAACAAAGUGGUCGUUGAAGAAAAGCGACAGACAAUUACACGCGUAUAUCGGUCGUUUAAGUGUGGCAUACGUGGUCCGUUGUAUCGUUGCCAAAUUUCAUCGUGAAUCGUUCGUUCAUUCACCGGUUCUUCUUUACGCCGCUAGGACGACAUCUCGCGAACAAGCGCAAACGAACAAGACAGUACGCAGGGAAACACAAACGAACGCAGAUGAACUUAAACGAAGACGAAUAAGCACGAACGAACUCAUAGUUGCGCGCAAGAUCCGACUUCUCCAAUGUCUGUUGCCACCGACCUGGGGAUCUGUCCGACCCAAAGUCCAGUAAAUUUCUGUAUAAUUCAUGCGAUCCGAACCGACAAAAAAAAUGAAGCUGAGAUAACAAUCGGAACAACAUGGAACGCUAUCGCUGCAUAGAUCCGUAUCGUCGGGCACGCUUCUGAAAGAAGAUCUUCUCCACGUUCUGUCAUGUUUGACGCGCGUUUCUAUAACGAGCUACUAAGCACGUUCUUCCACAGUUAAUUCCAACUUGUUUGGCACGCGUGACCUG